rnacentral:rRNA from 1 species
GAUGAACGCUGGCGGCGUGCCUAAUACAUGCAAGUCGAGCGAACAGACGAGGAGCUUGCUCCUCUGACGUUAGCGGCGGACGGGUGAGUAACACGUGGAUAACCUACCUAUAAGACUGGGAUAACUUCGGGAAACCGGAGCUAAUACCGGAUAAUAUAUUGAAGCGCAGGGUUCAAUGGUGAAAGACGGUUUUGCUGUCACUUAUAGAUGGAUCCGCGCCGCAUUAGCUAGUUGGUAAGGUAAAGGCUUACGAAGGCAACGAGGCGUAGCCGACCUGAGGGGGUGAUCGGCCACACUGGAACUGAGACACGGUCCAGACUCCUGCGGGACGCAGCAGUAGGGAAUCUGCCGCAGUGGUCGAAAGCCUGACGGAGCAACGCCGCGUGAGUGAUGAAGGUCUUCGGAUCGUAAAACUCUGUUAUGAGGGAAGAACAAAUGUGUAAGUAACUGUGCACGUCUUGACGGUACCUAAUCAGAAAGCCACGGCUAACUACGUG